GACGAACGCUGGCGGCGUGCUUAACACAUGCAAGUCGAACGGAAAGGCCCUGCUUUUGUGGGGUGCUCGAGUGGCGAACGGGUGAGUAACACGUGAGUAACCUGCCCUUGACUUUGGGAUAACUUCAGGAAACUGGGGCUAAUACCGGAUAGGAGCUCCUGCUGCAUGGUGGGGGUUGGAAAGUUUCGGCGGUUGGGGAUGGACUCGCGGCUUAUCAGCUUGUUGGUGUGGUAGUGGCUUACCAAGGCUUUGACGGGUAGCCGGCCUGAGAGGGUGACCGGCCACAUUGGGACUGCGAUACGGCCCAGACUCCUACGGGAGGCAGCAGUGGGGAAUAUUGCACAAUGGGCGGAAGCCUGAUGCAGCAACGCCGCGUGCGGGAUGACGGCCUUCGGGUUGUAAACCGCUUUCGCCUGUGACGAAGCGUGAGUGACGGUAAUGGGUAAAGAAGCACCGGCUAACUACGUG
rnacentral:rRNA from 1 species